UUUUCCUGCCCUCGAGGAGCUCACAGUCUAGUACGUCUCAUCCCCUACUAGACUGAAGCUCCUUGAGGACAGGGAUCGUC
rnacentral:pre_miRNA from 2 species